GAAGACUCCAGAAUCCACUCUGGCUGGAAUCCGGUGGAUACAGCAGUGUUUACAGGGAAGAAACAGGAGUGAGUUGUCAGCUGUCAGUCUCUGUUCAGAAGACCACAGCCGUGGGAACAGCAAUGAUACUGUGUAGGACCCUCAAACUCCCAGACCUCUGGUAGAGGACCCAAACUUAAAGACUGCCCACAGGGUGUGACAGGGCAGCAUGGAGUGUCAGGGCUAUGGCAUCAUCAGUGGACCUGUUGU